GAAUGUAUGACUUAAUGUGUAGAAGGUUUGGACGGUUUUCAAAAGGCUCGGGUUCAAAUCCCGUUUCGUUCA
rnacentral:tRNA from 1 species